UACAGAGGUCUCAAGCGUUGUUCGGAUUCAUUGGGCGUAAAGGGUGCGUAGGUGGCGCGUUAAGUCAGGUGUGAAAUUUCGGAGCUUAACUCCGAAACUGCAUUUGAUACUGGCGUGCUUGAGGACUGGAGAGGAGACUGGAAUUCAUGGUGUAGCAGUGAAAUGCGUAGAGAUCAUGAGGAAGACCAGUGGCGAAGGCGGGUCUCUGGACAAGUUCCGUGACACUGAGGCACGAAGGCCAGGGGAGCAAACGGG
rnacentral:rRNA from 1 species